rnacentral:rRNA from 1 species
UGAGCAAUCUGCCCUUCUCAUCGGAAUAACCAUUGGAAACGAUGGCUAAUACCGAAUAUGACUUCGGAUCGCAUGAUCUGAAGUGGAAAGCUCCGGCGGUGAAGGAUGAGCUCGCGGCCUAUCAGCUUGUUGGUGAGGUAAUGGCUCACCAAGGCGACGACGGGUAGCCGGCCUGAGAGGGUGACCGGCCACACGUGGGACUGAGACACGGCCCAGACCUCCG